rnacentral:rRNA from 1 species
CCUACGGGUGGCAGCAGUGAGGAAUAUUGGUCAAUGGACGCAAGUCUGAACCAGCCAUGCCGCGUGCAGGAAGACGGCUCUAUGAGUUGUACACUGCUUUUGUACGAGGGUAAACGCAGAUACGCGUAUCUGUCUGACAGUAUCGUACGAAUAAGGAUCGGCUAACUCCGUGCCAGCAGCCGCGGUAAGACGGAGGAUUCAAGCGUUCUCCGGAUUUAGUGGGGUUAAAGGGUUCGUAGGCGGUCGGUUAAGUUAGAGGUUGAAUCCCGAGGCUCAACUUCGGAAUUGCCUCUGAGACUGUUCGGCUAGAGAGUAGUUGCGGUAGGCGGAAUGUAUGGUGUAGCGGUGAAAUGCUUAGAGAGCAUACAGAACACCGAUUGCGAAGGCAGCUUACCAAGCUACUUCUGACGUUGAGGCACGAAAGCGUGGGGAGCAAACAGGAUUAGAUACCCUUGUAGUC